UACGUAGGUCCCGAGCGUUGUCCGGAUUUAUUGGGCGUAAAGCGAGCGCAGGUGGUUUAUUAAGUCUGGUGUAAAAGGCAGUGGCUCAACCAUUGUAUGCAUUGGAAGCUGGUAGACUUGAGUGCAGGAGAGGAGAGUGGAAUUCCAUGUGUAGCGGUGAAAUGCGUAGAUAUAUGGAGGAACACCGGUGGCGAAAGCGGCUCUCUGGCCUGUAACUGACACUGAGGCUCGAAAGCGUGGGGAGCAAACAGG
rnacentral:rRNA from 1 species